rnacentral:lncRNA from 1 species
UCCCUCACGGGUGGUUCUCCUCUGUGGCCAGGUAUGACGCUGCACAGAGCCCUGGAGUGGGUCUCUUCCCCGCCCCGCAGCCAGUUUCACUGGUUGCCAAUGAAAACCCAGGUAAUGGGAGGGUGGACAGGGCUUGCCCCCUCCCCAUUCCUAUUCCCACCAACGCAGGCUGCACUCUUGGGGGUCUUGAGGGUGGGGCAUUGCGCCCUCCCCCCCACUGGUUUUUCUGCUCUGUGCCCAGGUAUAAAGCUGCACAGAGCCCUGGAGUGGACCUUCUGCACCCCCCGCCAGCCAGUUCCACUGAUUGGCAUUGCAAACUGAGGUAAGCGGAGGGUGGGGAGGGCUUGACCCCUCCCCAUUCGUAUCGUUGGCAACACACACUGCAGCUGACACCCGUGGGGGUCCUCUGCGUGGGCAAUUGGGUCCUUCCUUCCUUUCUCCUGCCUCCCUAAUCUUUCUCCCUGUGCACCCAGGGACAGACCUGCAUUAUGCCCUGGAUUCCGCUUCCUGCCCCCCCCAGACAGUAACAGUACUUUGCAAUGGAAACCGAGGUAAGCGAAGGGUGGGCAGGGCUUGCCCCCUCCCCAUUCGUAUCCGUGGCAACGCAGGCUGCAGCCGACAGCCUUGUGGGUCCUGUGCGUGGGGCAUCAGCCCUUCCCCUCCUGCCGGGAUUUUUUGUCUGUGCCCAGAUAUCGAGCUCCUCAGAGCCCUGGAGUGGGUCUCCUGCAGCCCCCCCGGCAGCCAGUUCCACUGGUUUACAUUGGAAACCGCGGGACAGACCUGCAUUAUGCCCUGGAUUGCGCUUCCUGCCCCCCCCGACAGUUCCAGUCAUUUGCAAUGGAAACCGAGACCUGCAUGUCGCUCUGGAGUGGGCCUCCUGCCCCCCCUGCCAGCCAGUCCCACUGGUUUGCAUUGGAAACCAAGGUAAGUGGAGGGGGGGGAGGGCUUGCUCCCUCCCCAUUCCUAUUCCCACCAACACAGGCUGCACUCUUGGGGGUCCCGUGGGUGCGGGAUUCGGCCCUUCUCCCCUCCCUCACCCAUUUUUCUCCGUGUACACCCAGGUAUGCACCUGUAUGACGAUCUGCAGGGGGCCUCUUGCCCCCCCAUCAGCCAGUUCCACAGCUACACGGAGCCCGGGAGUCGGCCACCUGCGCCCCCUGCCCCCCAGUUCCUCUAGUUUGCCCUGCAAACCCAGAUGCAGCUUUGGGGAUUCUCUGGGUUGGGGAUAGGUAUUUCCCCUUUCGUCACUGGUUUUUCGCCUCUGUGUACAGGUAUGGAAUUGCACAGAGCCCUGGACUGGGCCUCCUGCGCCCCUCGACAACCAGUUCCACAUGAAAGGGUGGUUGGGCCCGUGAGUGGAGGUGGGAGGUCAGGUCAGCAGUCGGCGCUCUCCCUGGGGAUUCCUGUCUAGCCUUAGGAAUAGGGACUCGAGGCUAGCUGUGGCGGUGGGGGUCACGCCGUUCCGCUCAGGGCCGG